AUGCCAUGUACCCCAACAUCUACAGAUAAAAUCACACUCCUCGUGCACACACACACAACCCUACACACACAACCCUACACACACACACACACACAACCCUACACACACACACACACAACCCUACACACACACACACACACACACACACACACACAACCCUACACACACACACACAACCCUACACACACACACACACAACCCUACACACACACACACACAACCCUACACACACACACACACAACCCUACACACACACACACACACACACACAACCCUACACACACACACACACAACCCUACACACACACACACACACACACACACACACACAUACAACCCUACACACACACACACACAUACAACCCUACACACACACACACACAUACAACCCUACACACACACACACACAUACAACCCUACACACACACACACACACAACCCUACACACACACACACACACACACACAACCCUACACACACACACACACACACACAACCCUACACACACACACACACACACACAACCCUACACACACACACACACACACACACAACCCUACACACACACACAACCCUACACACACACACACACACCUACACACACACACAACCCUACACACACACACACACACACAACCCUACACACACACACACACACAACCCUACACACACACACACACACACACAACCCUACACACACACACACACACAACCCUACACACACACACACACACACACAACCCUACACACACACACACACAAACACAACCCUACACACACACACACACAAACACAACCCUACACACACACACACACAACCCUACACACACACACACACACAACCCUACACACACACACACACAACCCUACACACACACACACAACCCUACACACACACACACACAACCCUACACACACACACACACACAACCCUACACACACACACACACACAGAACCCUACACACACACACACACACACACACACACACACAACCCUACACACACACACACACACACACACAACCCUACACACACACACACACACACACACACACAACCCUACACACACACACACACACACACACACACAACCCUACACACACACACACAACCCUACACACACACACACACACACACACACAACCCUACACACACACACACACACACACACAACCCUACACACACACACACACACACAACCCUACACACACACACACACACACAACCCUACACACACAACCCUACACACACACACACACAACCCUACACACACACACACACACACACAACCCUACACACACACACACACAACCCUACACACACACACACACACACAACCCUACACACACACACACACACACACACAACCCUACACACACACACACACACACAACCCUACACACACACACACACACACACACAACCCUACACACACACACACACACACACACACAACCCUACACACACACACACACACACACACAACCCUACACACACACACACACACACACACACAACCCUACACACACACACACACACACACACACAACCCUACACACACACACACACACACACAACCCUACACACACACACACACACACACAACCCUACACACACACACACACAACCCUACACACACACACUGUCUUGUAUACACACUGCCAAUGUAA
ensembl:lncRNA